CACCUCCUCGUCUUCUCGGCGGACUCGUCGCCGCCCACCUUUUCCUCUUCACGGUACUACUGCAGGAAAAUUAAACGCCAUCGUGGGCACGUGGGGGCAUGGAGCAGUUUCGUCACUUCCCAUUUCAUCUCCAGAUUAUUUUUUCCCCUCUCCGUUUGUUUCUCAUCCCUGAAGAUGGUCUAGGGGACGGGACCCUCCGUCGGCGAUGAACCCAUGGAUCGGAACCUCGCCUCGGGUUCCUCCCUGGCUCCCUCCCUUCGGCAGUACUCCGCCGCCGCUCAUGGCCCGCGUGAAGGAAGGAGUGAGAUCGAGCUGGCGCAUGCGCACAUCAGAGGAAGAAGGGCCUGAUGCGCUCUGAUUUGGGACGGGGUAUAACUACAUCCUCUCCGUCUCGUUAUUUGGUCUUUAUUCACCAGAUUGAUGCAUAUUCUCGCUAGCACCGCAGCAGCUUCCUGCAUCGACCGUGGCCCCGUGCAUCAUCUCCAUCUAGUGGAUCCCGAUCUAAGUCUGCUAGGCAUGGCGGUGGGUACACAUCCCGGCGAAUCACCAAUCUGGCAGGAAGGAGUGGAGGUCAGGGUCUGCUUGAAGGAAGGAGUCGAGAUCUGGCUGGCGCGGGGCAAGAGCAGCGAAGCCUCUGGCCGGAUCAGGGGAGAAUGGCAGGAGAGCUGCGUUGGACGUCCACGCCAACUACAUUCAUAGAAGCAAGGAUUUAUCAGUAUAAGUCACUCAGCAAGUACAUACAGGUCAGCUGAGGAAGUUCCUUGAAUUUUACAUUUGCAGUGCUGCCGCUGUGACGUCUGACUGCAGUUCAGUUGAAAGCAGGCACAUUAACACAUACACUGUCAAUCUUAGUUAUCUUGUAUAGGUGGUGUGCUGGUAAUCCUGCUGAUGCGUGUACAAUCUUAUGAUCCGUGCAUGUACACAUUAACUGAAUUUUAAUGUAAAUGAUAUUUCAUUCCAUGCG